CGUGUAGGCGGUUUGGCAAGUCAGGUGUGAAAGCCCUGGGCUUAACUCAGGAAGUGCACUUGAAACUACCUCACUUGAGCAUGGGAGAGGAGAGUGGAAUUCCCAGUGUAGAGGUGAAAUUCGUAGAUAUUGGGAGGAACACCCGUGGCGAAGGCGACUCUCUGGACCAAUACUGACGCUGAGACGCGAAAGCGUGGGGAGCAAACAGGAUUAGAUACCCUGGUAGUCC
rnacentral:rRNA from 1 species